AAAUAUUCCUUUGAAACUCAAGCCCUGACAGGAAGUAAAAAACAAAACAAAACAACAACUUCACCUGCUCAUGUGUCCCAUAAUAUUAGCUUAGGUAUUAUGUCAAAAUAUGUUUGCUUUUUCGGUGGGUUUUUUGUUUGUGUUUGUUUGUGUGUGUGUGUGAGCAAGUAACUCUACGCUCCUGUAGGUGGUGCAGUGCAGUUUUCUUCUCAGCGUAGAAGAAGAAUGUCAUCCUGCUGUAACUGACUGUCCUGCUUGUUCUUUCUUCUGUUUUUUUAUCUCCUCGGGUUUUUAUCUUUGUGCGUCUGCUCCGCAGUUACAAAUACAUCGAUCAAAAGGCUUCCUCGGUUCACUAUUGGGAAAUCCUAAUUUUUUAAAAGAAUAAUAAAUCAUGUUUCGAAGAAGACUGCCUUUCACACAGUUAGCCUUUGCCACAAUGCUUGGAGUUGCCGGUGGAAUUUACAUCUACAGACCUUAUUUCGAGACUGUGCCAAAGACAUCCGGAGAGCAGAUCCAGGACAAGCCAAAGAAAGAGAAUGAACUGGACUGAAGGAGUUCGAGAAGGCAGGAGGCUGCUGGACUGGAGGCCAAACAAAAAGACAAGAUCACCAUGGAUUAAGUCAUACUGAUUCCUGCUGUUUGUGAUUAUAAAUUUACAGAAUAAAUAUUUAAUAAUUUCAUGUUCU